rnacentral:rRNA from 1 species
GCUUACGGCCAUACCAGCCUGGGUACGCCCGAUCUCGUCUGAUCUCGGAAGCUAAGCAGGGUCGGGCCUGGUUAGUAUUUGGAUCGGAGACCGCCUGGGAAUACCAGGUGCUGUAAGCA